rnacentral:misc_RNA from 1 species
AAGGCAUCAUGUUUAAAAUUUCUCUUCAAUAUCAUCUUAACUUGUAUGGAAUUUUCUUUAUAUCAAAUUAGCAAUAGUUCAAAAACAAGAUUGCACCCCAAGUUUUUACAGUAUGAAUAUUUGACAAGUGGUGUAGGACUCCAAUUGCAAGACAGAGUAUGAAGUUUGAACCAUUUCUAGCAAACAACACAAGUGAAAUAUGUGUAAACAUUUUAUUCCUACAUAGUGUGAUUUGGUACCCUAUACCUAGGAAGAUAAGA